rnacentral:lncRNA from 1 species
AUCUAUGCUGCAUCUACAUCACUCUCACGUUCUAAUAAAUAACUACUAACCAAAAAAUCAGAUUCAUGUAUUAGGACUUCUCACCUUACAAAUCUGACCAAAUAAUUUCAUCUCACAAAUCCACUCAUUAAAUAAAUACAACCCCAAAAGCACCAACGCAACAUCACAAAAAUAUCCUAUAACAAUAUGAGAUCAUCACUGAAUAACCAAGAUCAAGGAAUCACAUGGGCAUAUCCAAUCUGCACUAUCGUUCAACAACCCAAUAACAUGCACAGCAAAAAUCAGAUUCACAUUCAUAUACUCAGAACAAAAUCAGACUCUAUAAAUCCCAUACCUCGUUUUGUUUUUGAACCCUCUCCCAACACAAUCCACACCAAGCUUUCCAACCACCUCGACACCUCCUCGCUCGUUUCCCCGAUACUCUCUCGCCGGAGUUUCGUCUCCGUCCCCACCCUAGCCUCACCGGAGUAGUCACCGUUCUUCUUUCACUCACGUUUCUCCCAACCUUCCCUCUUUCCAUUCUUGGUCUAUAUACCCCCUCUCCUUUCUUUCAAAAUCCUAACCAUGAUUUUAACUAUAUG